GCCCUCACUCUCCGGGGUGGCAUCUUCGGGCCUGAACCCCCCCCCCGCGGGGUCUCAGGCGCCCUCUUGCCUGCAGCCGGGAAGACGCGUCCAGGAGGAGGACGCGGCUGGCCCAAGGUCACGCUGGGCUCUUCUCUACACCUCUUUGCCCACUCCUCAGCGCCCAUCCCUUCGUUCUCCCCAAAGAACCCCUCUGCUGCCCCUUCUCAUUCCCUCCUCCAGUGCUCCCAAAGCCCCCAGGUGCUGACCGUCCUUCAGAACUCCUGCUAACGACUGGACUCCCUUCUUGGAGUCAUUUCCCUGUGCUCUGGUGGGAAAAGUCCUAGGCGAGGUGUUCUCACUGUGGGUUCUCGCUGUGUGAUCUAGAGCAAGCGAGUCUUUCCUCCUAUGGGCCUGGCUUCUCCCCGCUGUACAGGGCAAUGAGGGGUCUGCGAGGCCUCCCAGCCCUGACAUUGUGGAGCCCCACUGUCACCUCUUCCACUGUUUUGCUUUUCUGGGGAGAGCUGUCUGUCCCUGGUCCCUCUCAAGCCGGGAAAAGCCCUGUCUCCUUGGUCUGGAAGGCUGGGGCGCUUGCAGCAGGAGGAUCCUAGAGAGAAACCCCGGCUGAGGCCCCCUCCCUCUGGGAGAAGCGCUGCCCUUCACUCUGCCUGGCAGAGAGACGAGCCAACCCCCCUAUUUUGUCCCAGAUUAGGGUUGGGGAGUUAGAGACCAGCCCUCUCUCAGAGUGUGUGUGCGCGCGCGCGUUUGUGUGUGUCUGUCUGUCUGUGUAUGUGUGUGUGUGUGUCUGUGUGUCUGUGUGUUGUGGAGGGAACAAGAAGGGCCUUGCACCCAGCCCUCUGUGUGUGUGUGUGUGUGUACACAUUUGAGAAGAAGCGUCGGGGAGGAGGUGUGUGAGGAGAGUUGAGCAAUGGGGAUGGCGAUGCUGGGUGUGUCCUUAUGCUGGGCAUGAGAUGGGGAAUUCAGAGGGUGGGCUGGGCAUGGGGACUGCGGAGAGGGGUGUGAUGAGAGGGUGGAGAGCCGCUUCUGCCAAGACUGGGAGACUGUGUGGGAGGAGAUGGGCCUGGAUGUGCGCCUGUGGAGGGAUGGGAACAUGGAACAGGAGCCACUGGGAGACUUUGUGGGAAGGAGAUUGAGACCCAGUGAGCCUGUGAGAGACGACAUCGUGCGCACGAAUGGGGAAGCCGCGUGAGCCUGUGCGUCAGUUCAGAUUAGGCUUGGCCGUGAGUAAUAUAAACCCCCAGGAACAGUGGCUGAUGCCGAGGCAAAACAGCCUGUUUCGUUCUUCCCAAUGUUAUCUGAGUCUGGAAGCCACAGUCAGGGCUGGUGUGACAGUCUCGCUGUCCCCUGGGUGCCGGGGGCUCCCUCCCCACCCUCAGUGCUGAGCACAGGAUGUCUGCCCGAGGUGCCCUUCCCAGAGCGGUGCUCUGCCGUGUCUCAGCGCAUUCACCCACUGUGGCUGAGCCAGAACAGCCUUCUCUCUAGGAGACACAGGUGGAUCCCAGUCAGACAGCAUGGCAGGGAUGGGCACAGGGAGGAAGUGAGUAUCUGGACGAGGGCUACACUGGGGAGCCUGGACCAGCAUGAUCACUGGACUCAGGCAGGAGGUCUGGGCUUCUGGCCCUGUCUCUGCCACUGUGUGACUCACGGUUACUUCCCUGCCGCAACCUCACUGGGCCAUGAACUAGAUGAUCCCCUAAACCUUCUUGAAGCCAAAAUAGCCGCUGGAGCACUUCCAGCCUGCAGGAGCCCAGCUACAGGCAAGGCCAAGAAGAAAGAGUCUGCACGUUGGAGGCCAGCAGGUUGAUGGAGGCCCUGGAGCAUUCACUCCUUCCUGCAGCUAUGAAGCAUCGAGCCCCAGCUAUGCACCAGACCCCAGGGCCACCAUUUGAAUAGGCUGGAGUCACUGUUCUUGAGCCAGAGGCAGGUCACAGAGGGCCUGGAUGACUUACUGCCUGGGCAGAAGAUGCCCCGAGAGGACAGGGACCAUGUGCCUGGGGCGUUAGACUUUAAUCAGAGUCUGAUUCAGCUCCAAACCACAGGUCCCUUCAUGUCACCCCAGGCUCAAACCCACCCGUGACCCUGCCCUGUGAAGGUUGGAGGAAGAGGAAGCCCCAGAAACUUGCCAGGAAGUCUGAGGUGCAGGGAGUGGAAAGUGGGGGGAUGCUGGUCAGAACGAUGGAGCCCUGUUACCAAACAGACCAGAACAUAGGGCUGCCCAUUCCCUCUCAGGGAUCAGCAAGUGGAAUGUGCUUUUCUGGAGAAAUAAGACAAAAGAGACUGGAGAAUUUGGGGUGUAAAGAAGUCCUGGCAGGCCAGGCAGGCGUGUUAGAGGGGUGUUCCUGCCUCCUGUUCCCCUCUUAUUUGUGUCAUGCCGUUUGGUAGUUGCAGAAACCACGAGUCAGAGCGGCCACAUUCCCAAGGCAGGUGCGCUGAGGGCUUUAGGCAGGGUGCCGCUAAAUAGGCGUGAUGGACAGUGGGUCCUAAUCCUGCCUCUGCUGCUGGCCAGCCCAGGCAUCAAGGGCAAACCCCCCAACCUCUAUGCACCCGAGUUCCAGUUCUUUUAGCUGAACAUCAAGGAGAUGAGACUAGUUGAUCCAAGAGGCAAUUAUGCAUUCUGGUUAAGAUAGCUCAGGCUUUGAAGUCAGACUGUCUGGGUUAAGAUCCUGGCUGUGUUUCCUUUUAGCCCAUGACCUUGAGCAGGUUACCCAAUCCAAGCUCUGUAACAGUCAUAGUUCCUACCGCUUGUUGUAAGGAUUUUAAAGAGAAUCAUACAUCCUUCUGACCCACGGAAACAAUGAUUUUUCUCUUCUAGUUAUAAACUUCAAUAACGCUGUCCUACACAAAUCAGGAGAUACAGAGGAAAUCCUCUGUCUCAGGGAGAAAUCCUCAUUCCCUCUCAGCACCCCCAGUCAGUUCCCAUUUUGACAGCAUUUUGUUAUUAUAAUUCAUGAUGCUAUUAAUACAGAAGCAGAAAAAAAGCUCAGAUAGAUUUCUUUCAUCGUCUAGUCUAGUCCAAAAGUUCAAAUACCUUCUCUUGCCAAUGGUAAUCAGGUGAUGUCACCAAGGAAAGAGACCCCUGAGCAGCCGUGAGACUGCCGGGUAUUUCAUGCACCUUUGGUGUUGGAGAAGAUGCUGUGAAUAUCCAGAUAGGCUUCCCUCCAAAGAGUCCGAGCUGAAAAUACUGGGGAAGUGGAUUUCGGAUCCUUCCUGGGGGAUCCUGCCAGGGACAUGGCCUGGCUCAAGCUCUGGUAGGGGAAGUCUAGUAUCAAGUCUCACCUGGCAGGAAUUGAGCCCAGAAUGGAAAGUGCUACAGGCAGGGCAGCCUCCCUCUGUCCUCAGCCGACCUGAGUGAGGGAAGGAUCAGAUAGCCCAGCCGGGCAGGACAAGGAGAUUGCAGCCAUCAAGACCAAGAAGGGAUUUCCUGUUGAGAGGAAGCAGGGGUUAAGCUGAGCUCUGAUUCACCUUCCUCACAAGUCUCCAGGAUCAUAAGGAACCUAAUGGAACCUUCCUCAAUAGCUGAGCUCAAUUUCCCUUUCUGGAAAACCUUCCCCUAUACUUCCACACCUCCUUGUUCCGGAGAUCAUUUACAAUAAAAGGAAGUAAGAGAAACUUCUGUGUAGAGUUAAAGGGCUGCAGAAAUACAUGGGCAUUUGUGAGAUGACAUGCACUCAUUUGUUACAGAUUGCCCACAAGGCUGGCUGGUCGCCUACAAGAGUAAUCCCAGCCAGCACAUACCCCGCGUGAGAAUCUUUCAGAUAAUUUACUUAGUCCUCACUACAGCCCUGUCACAUAACUGUGGGAUCAUCCCCUUUUUACACAUCAAGGAAACUGGGGAAAAGCCUGGAGGACCCACUAACGCAAUGCAGCUUUAGGGUGGAGCUGUGAGUUCCCUGCUGCAUGUACUGGGACUCCAAGCGGGGUGCUCAGACCCUGUUGCUGAGGCACCUCUGUUCUCACCUGUGUACAGUAAGUACUCAGUGACUGUGUGGACGGGCUGGGUCCCCAGGUAUUGAUAGAUGAUGCACAGGGUUGUCAUUCUAAGUCUCUGCAGAACCAUAGGGGUUCCCAGCAGAGAAUGGUCACUGAGGGCAGGUUGCCUUCACCAUAGGAGGGGCCUUGACAGAUGUAGACCACUUCUGACUGGGACCCACUAACUUCUCACUGGGAGCAGAGUUAAUCAAGUCACAGAGAUGGGUAGGAAGGCAAGGGGCUGCUUCCCAUGUGGUGAGCAGUGCAGGUAGGCAGAGCACAGAGCUCCAGCAGCCAGAUAGGGAAAGGAACCCAGCCCACCCUGCAGCCCUCCAUCCUCCUGCAGACCCCCAUUUACAUGGUGAGUCAGUAACAGGAAGGAGCCCUUGGAUGGUGGCAAUGCCAUUAGCAACCCCAUGGGGGAAAGGGGAAGUGGGGAGGGAAGGAAGUAAUGAGGCACCCCAGCGCCCUCAGGCAGGAAGGCUGCAACAGCUGCCGCCAGCCUCCCACUCUGCCCUCACCCUGUCCUGGCCCCCCCACCCCACUCACUCAGAGGUGGGUGGCCAGGAGCCUGGCCAAUCAGAAGCACCAGGGGCACGUUGAGACCUCUCCCCAAAUCUACUGAAUAAGAAUGUCUGAGAUUUCUAGCUAUUGGAACUACAAAGAAAAAAA